rnacentral:rRNA from 1 species
AUACGGAGGGUGCGAGCGUUAAUCGGAAUUACUGGGCGUAAAGCGCGCGUAGGCGGUUAGAUAAGUCUGAUGUGAAAGCCCUGGGCUUAACCUGGGAAUGGCAUUGGAUACUGUUUGACUAGAGUGCGGGAGAGGAGAGUGGAAUUCUCGGUGUAGCGGUGAAAUGCGUAGAGAUCGGGAGGAACACCAGUGGCGAAGGCGGCUCUCUGGACUGACACUGACGCUGAGGUGCGAAAGCGCGGGUAGCAAACAGGAUUAGAAACCCCAGUAGUCC